UACAGAGGUGGCAAGCGUUGUUCGGAAUUACUGGGCGUAAAGGGCGCGUAGGCGGCCAUCUAAGUCAGACGUGAAAUCCCCCGGCUUAACCUGGGAACUGCGUCUGAUACUGGACGGCUUGAGUAUGGGAGAGGGAUGUAGAAUUCCAGGUGUAGCGGUGAAAUGCGUAGAUAUCUGGAGGAACAUCGGUGGCGAAGGCGGCAUCCUGGACCGGUAUUGACGCUGAGGCGCGAAAGCCAGGGGAGCAAACGGG
rnacentral:rRNA from 1 species